rnacentral:rRNA from 1 species
UACGAAGGGUGCAAACGUUGCGCGGAAUUAUUGGGCGUAAAGCGCACGUAGGCGGCUUAGCAAGUCGGAAGUGAAAUCCCUCGGCUCAACCAAGGAAGUGCUUUCGAAACUGCUGAGCUUGAGUACUUAAGAGGAUCGCGGAAUUCCCGGUGUAGAGGUGAAAUUCGUAGAUAUCGGGAGGAACACCAGUGGCGAAGGCGGCGAUCUGGGAAGAUACUGACGCUGAGGUGCGAAAGCGUGGGGAGCAAACAGG